CGCCCCUCUCGGAAGCACGUGCGCCUAACGUCAUUUCCUGUUAUUCUCUUCGCUCCCUUCUGAUCCGCCGUGGGUUCGUUCGUGACCGGCCUUUGGGGCGUGCCCUUUUUCCUCUCUGUCAGCUGAGGCCCAGAGAGGUGAUGCCUCUUGUUGAAUUACGUCUGCAAAGCAACAGCAGCUGGAUCUCAAAUCCCCACUCUUCCCAAAUCACGAUGCCUUCAGCAAAGGAGAGCCAGAAAGGGGAGAAUUACUCUGGGGAGAUGAAUACUGGCUGUGGCUGAGGGAAUAAGAGCCAAAGAGGAGUUGAAGGAGUAGGAGGCACAGGCCAUGCUGUCCACCACUUCCUGCUGGUGGGCCCUCGGGCAAGUCAUUGCACUCUGAGCCUCAGUUUCGCUAUUUGCAAGAUGGAAAUUACCCCUCUGCCAACUUAGAAGAACUGCUUGGUGAGGUGGUACAUAGGAUGCUGCCUUGGGAAGUUUAAAGUGCGGGGCACCAGGAACCCUUUAAGCCCAAGGAACCCCUCCAGGAAAGGGCAGCACCGUCUCUCAGUGGACACCCAGACCCAGGAGCCACCUCAGAGAAUCGUCUUAGCCCAGAGGUACUCCUUACCGCAGACCAGGACUCCAAACCAAAUGUAUCCUGUGCUGACCCAGGACACCCACCAUGGACUCAUCUGCCAGACACCAGGAAACUGCUCAUUUCUCAGCGAUGAAACCUGAGAUCCAUUCACCUUGUCCUGUCGAAAAGGAAAGGAGUGGAGCCCUGCCCAGCAUGGUAGGGAGUGCUGGAGAAGUCCUGCUCCUUUCAUUUGGCUCAGAGCAAGCCGGAGCCAGCCUGGAGGAAGUGUCCACGGAGGGAGGACUUGUCGGGAACAGGAAGCUUACUACUCUCAUCGUGGCUUCUUCCUGCUUGUUUGAAGCUUUUCCUUAUAUUAAACUGCAACCUCCCCACCAUGACUUCCUCUGAUUGGUCUCAGAACCUCACCAAACAGGUCUGUCUUCUUCCCCACCCUGCAGGUCUGAAGAGCUUUAGCUCUUCAGGUGAAGCAUCCAAUGCCAUGGUCUUGUCCUCUAGUCAAUACCCAGCGUCCAUGAUGUCCUUCCGUGGCAGGAAGCCCCCUAUUGAUUCAUCGAUCCGUGCACAUGCCCAGACCUUCCAGUGAAGUAUCCGUGAACAGAUGGCCACAUGUGGGGGCAGUGAGACCCAGACCCUUGAGGACAGACUAUGCUGGUGACACUUGGAAAGGUUUUGCAGCUUCAAUAGGUCGGUGGGGAUGUGAGAGAAGAUGAGUCAGCCCUGAUUGGAGGACCUGGUCUGCGGCCCUCUCAGAAAGAGCCUGUGUGCCUUAGAUCAGCACCUCUCACACUAAGGAGUGUGGGUGUGUGCUAAUCUCCGGGGGGUGAGGGGUCCUGUGAAACUGUGGAUUCAGAUUCAGCACGUCUAGGGCAGGGCCUGAGAGUCUGCAUUUCUUAUCAGUUCCCAGUUAUGUGCUGAUACUUCAGACCACAUUCGGAAUAGCAAAGCCCUAGGACAGUGGUAGCACAGUCCCUUGGGGUGCUUUACAAAUAUGGGCAGUUUGCCUCACCCAAACCUGCGGAUUCGGAGUCUUCUGGAGACUUGCUCAUUGGUCUAUCCCUCCCUCCCUCCCUCCCUCCCUCCCUCCUUCCCUCUAUCCUUCUCUCCCUCUCCUCCUCUCCCUCUCUGCUUUGGUUUGGAAAGCUCCCACGACGGCUGAUGGAUAGUCCAGUUUGACGUGGGAGCAGAGGCAGUGGUUCCCAGCCCUGGCUGCACACCAGUCACCUGGGAGUUUUAUAAAAUGUUGUGUCAGGGUGCCUCCCUGCAGACCAAUUGAAUCCAUUUCUGGGGAUUGGGGCCAGGAGAUUAGCAUUUCACAAAGCUCCCCCGGAUGAUUCUAAGGUACAGCCCCUUGUGUAGAGCCUGAGGUAAGAAUCAUCUGGAAUUCUUGAUGGAUAUACAGGUUACUAUGCUCUGCUCCGCCCUGAGCUUCAGAUUCAAGGUCUGGGGCGAGGUCCAGGACCGUGUAUGUGUAACAAGUACCACAGAUGAUUCUUAUGAGAUGGCAAGAUUGGGAAACACUGAGGUUGAGGAAAGGCCCCGGGAUUGGAGUUGGAAAGACAGUGCUCCUGGCUGUGUGAGUCCUCUCAGCUUACUGAGCCUCUGAGAUUUGUUUCUUCAUCUGUAAAACGGAGAUGAUGACUGCGGGAGGCAGAGAUGGGCAACCAUCCCCCAGAAACCUAUGUGCCCAGGAGUCCGCAGGACAGCGUUGUUGGAAAGUGGCUGCCACAGGCCAGGGACUCCAUUGCCCAGCUCCACUUUGCCAUUAGGUGGGGCGACUACAGGACUGCGUUGUGGCCAGUGGACCGUGGGCAGAAUUAGGAGUUCUCAGUGUCCUCAGCUCUCUCUUCACUCUCUGCCCAUUGGAUAUCAAUGUGUGGGUGAUCUGGGAAGACACAUGGGAAAGUUGACAGAACUCUCUGCUCCUCCGACUGCUAAUUGGACUUUAUGUGACUGAAAAAUAAGCUUCUGUGUAAAGCUGCUGCGAUUGGGCAGUUUAUCUGGUACAGUAGCUAGUGCUAUGUUAACUAACAUACUGCUUCCAUGAUGGUGGCAAAAAUUAAAUUAUUACAGCAGAGGCUGCAAACUGACAAUAUGAGCGCUCAGAUCCAACCAACAAACCCACAGAUAUGUUUUGUUACACCUGCACCAGUGUUCUAUUUUUUUUCCAGCAGAUUUUAAAAUGAGCAAUUUCACAACAAACGUCUUGUUGGUGCAUUCUUUACGGUGGCCAAGACAUGGAAACAACCAAAGUGUCCUUCAAUAGAUGACUGGAUAAAGAAGAUGUGGUACAUAUACACAAUGGAAUACUACUCGACCAUAAGAAAUGAUGAAAUAUUGCCAUUUGCGACUACAUGGAUGGAUCUUGAGAUUAUCCUACUAGGCAAAAUAAGUCAAGCAGAAAACAUCAAGAACCACAUGACUUCACUCAUAUGUGGGAUAUAAAAUGGAAAACAACAAAGAAUCAAGACAAACAAAAUCUCAUCGAUACAGAAAACAGUAUAGUGGUUACCAGAGGGUAAGGG